GACGAACGCUGGCGGCGUGCUUAACACAUGCAAGUCGAACGGAAAGGCCCUGCUUUUGUGGGGUGCUCGAUUGGCGAACGGGUGAGUAACACGUGAGUAACCUGCCCUUGACUUUGGGAUAACUUCAGGAAACUGGGGCUAAUACCGGAUAUGAUCUCCUGCUGCAUGGUGGUGGUUGGAAAGUUUCGGCGGUUGGGGAUGGACUCGCGGCUUAUCAGCUUGUUGGUGGGGUAGUGGCGUACCAAGGCUUUGACGGGUAGCCGGCCUGAGAGGGUGACCGGCCACAUUGGGACUGCGAUACGGACCAGACUCCUACGGGAGGCAGCAGUGGGGAAUAUUGCACAAUGGGCGGAAGCCUGAUGCAGAAACGCCGCGUGCGGGAUGACGGCCUUCGGGUUGUAAACCGCUUUCGCCUGUGACGAAGCGUGAGUGACGGUAAUGGGUAAAGAAGCACCGGCUAACUACGUG
rnacentral:rRNA from 1 species